GUAAGGAAGUUAAUUAAAGAAGCCAAACACAGUGGGAACAAAAUGAAUGCUUUAAUUGUGGACACCUCCUUCCAACCUCUUUGCCAAGAAUGUCAAAUAUCUUCCCGAAACUCAAUCUUGAGUUGUGAUCACAAUGCAAUGCUAAAAAGAGGACCAAUUCUUCAUCACCAGUAUUGGUGACUUUUGUGACUCAAAAAAAGAGUCCCAAACGAAAAGAACGAAUGGCAAAAUACAUUGGUAUCAGGACUGAAAGCUCAUUUCAAGUUUAUGUUUCACCAAUGUAGGGAAACUGGGGACAGACAUGGGCAACACGUGAAGAAGUUGUGCCGUGAACCAGACACCUCAAAUAUUCUGCAAGAGAGGGACAGUUGCAAAAAACCUCUGAGCGCUCGUUCACCCUUCAAUCAACAGGAGGAUGAAGUCACGUGAUGUAAACAUAUGAACAUAGAUUGUAAGUAUUUCUUUCUUUCUUUCUU